rnacentral:tRNA from 1 species
AUGUAGCUCAGUGGUAGAGCUCUUUUGUAACAAGUGAGAGGCCUGGGUUUAAUUCCCAGUAU